UACGUAGGAUGCAAGCGUUGUCCGGAAUUAUUGGGCGUAAAGAGCGCGCAGGCGGUAUGACAAGUCAGAUGUGAAAGAGGCCGGCUUAACCGGCAAGGGUCAUUUGAAACUGUCAGACUAGAGUGCAGCAGAGGAUAGUGGAAUUCCCGGUGUAGUGGUGAAAUGCGUAGAUAUCGUGAGGAACACCAGUGGCGAAGGCGACUAUCUGGGCUGCAACUGACGCUGAGGCGCGAAGGCUAGGGUAGCAAACAGG
rnacentral:rRNA from 1 species